ACGCGCGGAACCUUACCAGGUCUUGACAUCCCACUGACCGCUAUGGAGACAUAGCUUUCCCUUUUAGGGACAGUGGUGACAGGUGGUGCAUGGUUGUCGUCAGCUCGUGUCGUGAGAUGUUGGGUUAAGUCCCGCAACGAGCGCAACCCUUGUUCUUAGUUGCCAUCAUUUAGUUGGGCACUCUAAGGAGACUGCCGGUGACAAACCGGAGGAAGGUGGGGAUGACGUCAAAUCAUCAUGCCCCUUAUGACCUGGGCUACACACGUGCUACAAUGGAUGGUACAAAGGGCAGCAAAGCGGUGACGCCUAGCAAAUCCCAUAAAACCAUUCUCAGUUCGGAUUGUAGGCUGCAACUCGCCUACAUGAAGCUGGAAUCGCUAGUAAUCGCGGAUCAGCAUGCCGCGGUGAAUACGUUCCCGGGCCUUGCACACACCGCCCGU
rnacentral:rRNA from 1 species